rnacentral:tRNA from 1 species
UAGCUCAGUUGGUAGAGCGCUCCACUGGAAAAGGAGAGGUCCCUGGUUCGAUACCAGG